rnacentral:rRNA from 1 species
GGUACGGGGGGGGCAAGCGUUGUUCGGAAUUACUGGGCGUAAAGGGCUCGUAGGCGGCCAACUAAGUCAGACGUGAAAUCCCUCGGGCUUAACCGGGGAACUGCGUCUGAUACUGGAUGGCUUGAGUUUGGGAGAGGGAUGCGGAAUUCCAGGUGUAGCGGUGAAAUGCGUAGAUAUCUGGAGGAACACCGGUGGCGAAGGCGGCAUCCUGGACCAACACUGACGCUGAGUGAGCGAAAGCCAGGGGAGCAAACGGG